GAUGAACGCUAGCGGCAGGCUUAACACAUGCAAGUCGAGGGGUAUUUAUCUUCGGAUAGAGAGACCGGCGCACGGGUGCGUAACGCGUAUGCAAUCUACCUUUUACAGAGGGAUAGCCCAGAGAAAUUUGGAUUAAUACCUCAUAGUAUAUAGACUCGGCAUCGAGAUUAUAUUAAGGUCACAACGGUAAAAGAUGAGCAUGCGUCCCAUUAGCUAGUUGGUAAGGUAACGGCUUACCAAGGCUACGAUGGGUAGGGGUCCUGAGAGGGAGAUCCCCCACACUGGUACUGAGACACGGACCAGACUCCUACGGGAGGCGGCAGUGAGGAAUAUUGGACAAUGGGCGCAAGCCUGAUCCAGCCAUGCCGCGUGCAGGAUGACGGUCCUAUGGAUUGUAAACUGCUUUUAGACGAGAAGAAACACUGCUACGUGUAGCAGCUUGACGGUAUCGUAAGAAUAAGGAUCGGCUAACUCCGUG
rnacentral:rRNA from 1 species